CAGUCGCCGCGGUAAUGCGUAGGGUGCAAGCGUUAAUCGGAAUUACUGGGCGUAAAGCGUGCGCAGGCGGUUAUAUAAGUCAGAUGUGAAAUCCCCGGGCUUAACCUGGGAGCUGCGCUUGUGACUGCACAGCUAGAGUAUGGCAGAGGGGGGUGGAAUUCCACGUGUAGCAGUGAAAUGCGUAGAGAUGUGGAGGAACACCGAUGGCGAAGGCAGCCCCCUGGGCCAAUACUGACGCUCAUGCACGAAAGCUAGGGGAGCAAAUGGGAUUAGAUACCCCCGUAGUCCCUGUCUCUUAUAC
rnacentral:rRNA from 1 species